rnacentral:lncRNA from 1 species
CAAUGCACUUGGAGCAGAAACUGGGAUUCACUGGCUCACUUGGGGGAUGCUGUACCUCUGUCCUUCUUGCUUCCCAUAUGGCUCAUUGACUGGCAUGAACUCACCAGCCAUUGUUUCUUGUGUAGAAGGUGUUUCAUUGGAAGGACCUUGUAGAGCAUGUCCCCAGGAGCUGCCUUCCUAGCGGACUGGAGACUGGGUGUCCUCCAGGAGGGGCCACCGAUCAAUUUGAUUUGAGGACUACCCUUCAUGAUCUCAUUUUGCUUUAUAUCGCUGAGAUGAUCCAUUGUCCAGAAGAGUUCAGGAGGACACUGGGUGAUCUCCAUCAACUCUGAAAACACGGAGUCCUUCCUGAAAUACCUUCACAGUGAAAAGGACUACUUGUCAGAUGUCGAGGCCGGGAACCGGUUUGGAGAUUCUUGUGUGAUCGUUUGAGGGUGUAUGGACAUCCACAGAGUGUCACUGCUUAGCCAGUGUGGUCCAUCUUGUUAGACCAUGACUGUGCAUGCAUGGCCAGUCAGAAGCCUCUCAGGAGGUGACAUACAUGCUGGCAACACUGGGGAAUGGGCCACACAUGUCCUGGGUCACUCAUUCUCUUGACUUCCUUUACUAUGUUUUAUCUUUCAUCGUUCUAACAAAAUAUAUGAAUCUGGGUGCUGUA